AGCGAACGCUGGCGGCAGGCUUAACACAUGCAAGUCGAACGGGCGUAGCAAUACGUCAGUGGCAGACGGGUGAGUAACACGUGGGAACGUACCUUUUGGUUCGGAACAACUGAGGGAAACUUCAGCUAAUACCGGAUAAGCCCUUACGGGGAAAGAUUUAUCGCCGAAAGAUCGGCCCGCGUUUGAUUAGCUAGUUGGUGAGGUAAUGGCUCACCAAGGCGACGAUCAGUAGCUGGUCUGAGAGGAUGAUCAGCCACAUUGGGACUGAGACACGGCCCAGACUCCUACGGGAGGCAGCAGUGGGGAAUAUUGGACAAUGGGCGCAAGCCUGAUCCAGCCAUGCCGGGUGAGUGAUGAAGGCCCUAGGGUUGUAAAGCUCUUUUGUGCGGGAAGAUAAUGACGGUACCGCAAGAAUAAGCCCCGGCUAACUUCGUGCCAGCCGCCGCCGUAAUAC
rnacentral:rRNA from 1 species